GACGAACGCUGGCGGCGUGCUUAACACAUGCGAGUCGAACGGAAAGGCCCUGCUUUUGUGGGGUGCUCGAGUGGCGAACGGGUGAGUAACACGUGAGUAACCUGCCCUUGACUUUGGGAUAACUUCAGGAAACUGGGGCUAAUACCGGAUAGGAGCUCCUGCUGCAUGGUGGGGGUUGGAAAGUUUCGGCGGUUGGGGAUGGACUCGCGGCUUAUCAGCUUGUUGGUGGGGUAGUGGCUUACCAAGGCUUUGACGGGUAGCCGGCCUGAGAGGGUGACCGGCCACAUUGCGACUGAGAUUCGUCCCAGACUCCUACGGGAGGCAGCAGUGGGGAAUAUUGCACAAUGGGCGGAAGCCUGCUGCAGCAACGCCGCGUGCGGGAUGACGGCCUUCGGGUUGUAAACCGCUUUCGCCUGUGACGAAGCGUGAGUGACGGUAAUGGGUAAAGAAGCACCGGCUAACUACGUG
rnacentral:rRNA from 1 species